CAGUUGUGUAUUUUUGUUUUGUGCCUCUCUAAUCUAAAUUUGCCCCAAUCUUUCUGUCAAGGCGGCACCUCUUCCUGUUUAAGACAACCAUACACAUGCCCUAACUGAUACAUACUCACUGACAGGCACACAGUCAUUGGCACACACUUUAACCAACACACGCUUUCACUGACAGGCACACACUCUGAUACGUACUCGCUGGCAUCCACUCCACACACAUUCACUGAGUCACACGCACACUCACGGACACAAGCAUUCUCAUGGAUUUGGCACACUGACAGACAAAACAUUUACUCAGACACACAAACUUAAUGAUUUGAUACACACAUUCACUCACAAAAAACUAUUUGUGAGUAUGACAAUACAAAAUCUAAUUCUAACUUCAGUCCAUCCAGCCUCCCUACUUUUGGGAGAGUUGGUGUGGAUUCUUUACCUAAGCUCCAGUGUGGGGUUGCUGUGAAUUUUCUUGCUCUGCCCUUGCGUGUUUAGUGAUGCCGAGGCAGAAGUGACAUAUUUUGGCUCCUGGCAUCAUGGCAGGGUGCGCAAGGAAGCAGAGCAAGAACAGAGGAUACCUUCCUUGUCACCCACCUCAGAGGAG